AUCAUAUCACACCUCCUUCCCUGAUUUGACGGUAGGAGCAUAUCGGCUCACUUCUGCAUUUGUGUCUAUUCUGAAAUCAGUGUUUUCAUAUUAUAUUUGUCAAAAGUUAUUGACUCUUCUGCAUAUCCAUGACAACCGCCGAGUCUGUAUUUCUUCUAUAUCUCAUUUUAGCAGUCAUUUAUUGGAUGCUUUCGACUGCACGAACCCUCCUGGUGGGAGGAUCCUAAGGAGGGAAAGAUGCAUAUAAUCAACUGAACAUAUACCAGCCAUAUUCAUCAGCCAAAAUUCAUAGAUUCAAAAGAUUUAAAGCGGAAUAAACAUGGAAGGUUUUCCUAUUACAACUCUUGAAGAAAUGGCAAUAAGUAAGAUCAGUACACUUCUUUCAAGCGAUACGGAUAUAAAUCAGUUCAGGAAUAAUUCGUGGCGUUCUGAUAUGAAGUGGAAAAAUUUAUUAAAAAGGAAAAUAUCCGACUUAUUGCUACCUCCUCACUUUCAUAAAAGAAUGAUUGGAAUGGCAAACCGUAUUUAUAUGUUUUUCGAACAGAUAAAUGCAAUCCACGAUGGAAUUAGACCAUCGUUCGGUGGACCGUGUCAGUGCUUGGAUGGAGUUCUGCAAAGCUAUGUUUUUGACACAUCAGACAGUAUGUUUGAUGAAAGAAAAAUCAUUGAAAGUCUUGUUGUAGACGAGCGAAUUGAUGCGGCGUUUAGAUUCAUUCUAGUCAGCUUAUACUUUCUGGAAGAUAGCCGAGUACCUCUCCUGCGGCAUUUGCUCGCGCAGAUACCUACACCAUCCGAUCAGCUGCAAAACGAGGAAAAUUCCAGAACUCUUGUCGUGCGCAUUCGCAAACCCUCCCGUUUCCGACGACGCAGAAGGCAUUAACCCUUUGAAUCGAAGAGGAAACUUGUUGGUCGAUUAGAGUUCAGUAUUGUACAGUGAUUACUUUAUUCUUUCCUUUUGAAGAUUGAUAUAUUUGAAUUUAUAAAUGAAAAAAUUCUUUUGAAUAUUGAUAUGAAUUUAUAAAAUGAGUGGAAUCAGGAAAUGAAACUCUGAUUCAGAUAACUCCAGUUAAUUUUAUUCCAUGCAUGUAUGGUGGCAUUUGUAUUAACAACCUGAAGCGCAGGUUGAAGAUGGUAACAAACAUUACUGCAUUCUUUUCUUUUGAAUUGAUAUGAAUUUACAAAAUAACUAGAAUUAGAAAAUGGAAAUUUGUUCAGAAAACUCCUGUUCAUUAUACCCCAUGCAUGUUUGUUGGCUUUUAUAUAAAUAAUCAGAAACAUCGAUUGAAAAUGGUAUGACUGUCACUUUAUUCUUUUCUUUUGAAGAUUGAUGUGAAUUUAUAAAAUUAAUGAAAUCAGAAAGUGGAACUCUGAUUCAGAUAACUUCAGUUAAUUUUAUUCCAUGCGUGUUUGGUGGCAUUUGUAUCAAGAACUUGGAGCACAGAUUGAAGAUGGUAACAACCAUUAUUUCAUUCUUUUCCUUUGAAUAUUGAUGUGAAUUUAUAAAAUGACUAGAAUCAGGAAAUGGCACUCUGAUUCAAAAAACUCCAGUUCAUUAUACCCCGUACCUGUUUGUUAGCAUUUGUAUAAAGAACCUGAAACACUGAUUGAAAAUCGUAUAACGCUUACUUUAUUCUUUUCUUUUUUAAGACAGAUGUGAAUUUAUAAAAUGACUAGAAUCAGAAAACGGAACUCUGAUUCAGAAAACUCCAGUUCAUUAUUCCCUAUGCAUGUUUGUUGGCAUUGGUGUAUACGAAACCUAGGACACCGAUUGGUGUUCAACAAUUUCAGUAAGAAUUCUAGUUAAUCAUCUUUGUGCUUUAUGAAUAAAGUUUUGUGUCUUUUUUUUUUUUUUUUUUUUUUUGUUAUUUGAAGAAAACAGUAUGGAGGGCAGGAUCCUCUAUGAAAUUUCACAUCGUCAUAUUUCCAUUAAAAAU